rnacentral:rRNA from 1 species
CCUACGGGCGGCAGCAGUGAGGAAUAUUGGUCAAUGGACGCAAGUCUGAACCAGCCAAGUCGCGUGAAGGAUGACUGCCCUAUGAGUUUUAAACUUCUUUUAUAUGAGAGUAAACUUUUCCACGUUUAUGAUUUUGUAUGUACCGUAUGAAUAAGGAUCGGCUAACUCCGUGCCAGCAGCCGCGGUAAUACGGAGGAUCCGAGCGUUAUCCGGAUUUAUUGGGUUUAAAGGGCGCGUAGGUGGAUUGUUAAGUCAGUUGUGAAAGUCUGAGGCUCAACCGUAAAAUUGCACGUGAGACUGGCAGGCUAGAGUACAGUAGAGGUAGGCGGAAUGCGUGGUGUAGCGGUGAAAUGCUUAGAUAUCACGAAGAACUCCGAUUGCGAAGGCAGCUUACUGGGCUGCAACUGACACUGAGGCACGAAAGCGUGGGGAGCAAACAGGAUUAGAUACCCUAGUAGUC